rnacentral:sRNA from 1 species
ACAGAAGUUAUUAUAGGUCGAAGUUGGUAGUCUAGACGCCAAGGGUAGAGUGACGAAUUUAAUUUAUUUGAAUCAAGAGGUAUUAGGUAGCCGCGGAGCGAGGUUACGCUCAAAAGGUAAUAUGGCAACUACUUCAGGUUACGACCUGGAAGAAUUUAGAAAAAAACUAAUUCAUGAAGCUAAGACAGAACUAGAACUGCGCGGCAAAGAACUAACUGCCUAUGUACAGCAGAUGGUGGCGGCAGAAGCAGAGCGCUUGGAGAAGGAAAGAAUUAGAGAAGCAGAACGCUUGGAGAGAGAGAAAGCUAGAGGCAGAGAAAAAGAAAAAGAAGAAGCAGAUCGCAUAGAGCGGGAAAAGGUUAGAGAGGCGGAACGUGUAGAGAGGGAGAAGAAAGAAGAGGCGGACAGAAAAGUGAGAAUUCAAAUUGAACAGAUGAGGAUAGAGGCUGGGUUAAAUGUGCCCACCGAAGG